rnacentral:rRNA from 1 species
UACGAGGGGGGCAAAUGUUGUUCGGAAUCACUGGGCGUAAAGGGAGCGUAGGCGGGUUUCUAAGUCAGGUGUUUAAUCCCGGGGCCCAACCCCGGACAGGCACUUGAAACUGGGAAUCUUGAAUAGUGGAGAGGUCAGUGGAAUUGGGGGUGUAGCGGUGGAAUGCGUAGAGAUCCCCAAGAACACCAGUUGCGAAGGCGGCUGACUGGACACAUAUUGACGCUGAGGCGCGAAAGCGUGGGGAGCAAACAGG